UACGAAGGGGGCUAGCGUUGUUCGGAAUUACUGGGCGUAAAGCGCACGUAGGUGGAUUUGUUAGUCAGGGGUGAAAUCCCGGGGCUCAACCUCGGAACUGCCUUUGAUACUGCAAGUCUUGAGUCCGGAAGAGGUGAGUGGAAUUCCUAGUGUAGAGGUGAAAUUCGUAGAUAUUAGGAAGAACACCAGUGGCGAAGGCGGCUCACUGGUCCGGUACUGACGCUGAGGUGCGAAAGCGUCGGGAGCAAACAGG
rnacentral:rRNA from 1 species